UGUGAAAUCCCCGGGCUCAACCUGGGAACUGCAUUCGAAACUGGCAGGCUUGAGUCUUGUAGAGGGGGGUAGAAUUCCAGGUGUAGCGGUGAAAUGCGUAGAGAUCUGGAGGAAUACCGGUGGCGAAGGCGGCCCCCUGGACAAAGACUGACGCUCAGGUGCGAAAGCGUGGGGAGCAAACAGGAUUAGAUACCCUGGUAGUCCACGCCGUAAACGAUGUCUACUUGGAGGUUGUGCCCUUGAGGCGUGGCUUCCGGAGCUAACGCGUUAAGUAGACCGCCUGGGGAGUACGGCCGCAAGGUUAAAACUCAAAUGAAUUGACGGGGGCCCGCACAAGCGGUGGAGCAUGUGGUUUAAUUCGAUGCAACGCGAAGAACCUUACCUGGUCUUGACAUCCACAGAACUUUCCAGAGAUGGAUUGGUGCCUUCGGGAACUGUGAGACAGGUGCUGCAUGGCUGUCGUCAGCUCGUGUUGUGAAAUGUUGGGUUAAGUCCCGCAACGAGCGCAACCCUUAUCCUUUGUUGCCAGCGGUCCGGCCGGGAACUCAAAGGAGACUGCCAGUGAUAAACUGGAGGAAGGUGGGGAUGACGUCAAGUCAUCAUGGCCCUUACGACCAGGGCUACACACGUGCUACAAUGGCGCAUACAAAGAGAAGCGACCUCGCGAGAGCAAGCGGACCUCAUAAAGUGCGUCGUAGUCCGGAUUGGAGUCUGCAACUCGACUCCAUGAAGUCGGAAUCGCUAGUAAUCGUGGAUCAGAAUGCCACGGUGAAUACGUUCCCGGGCCUUGUACACACCGCCCGUCACACCAUGGGAGUGGGUUGCAAAAGAAGUAGGUAGCUUAACCUUCGGGAGGGCGCUUACCACUUUGUGAUUCAUGACUGGGGUGAAGUCGUAACAAGGUAACCGUAGGGGAACCUGC
rnacentral:rRNA from 1 species